CAGCAGCCGCGGUAAUGCGGAGGGCGCGAGCGUUACCCGGAUUUACUGGGCGUAAAGGGCGUGUAGGCGGCCUGGGGCGUCCCAUGUGAAAGGCCACGGCUCAACCGUGGAGGAGCGUGGGAUACGCUCAGGCUAGAGGGUGGGAGAGGGUGGUGGAAUUCCCGGAGUAGCGGUGAAAUGCGCAGAUACCGGGAGGAACGCCGAUGGCGAAGGCAGCCACCUGGUCCACUUCUGACGCUGAGGCGCGAAAGCGUGGGGAGCAAACCGGAUUAGAUACCCGGGUAGUCCCUGUCUCUUAUAC
rnacentral:rRNA from 1 species